UUUAGGCACGCCUGUGAAAAAAAUCUCAAAAGUAGGAGUUUUCUGCUCAGGCACGUGCAAUUUUACAAUUUUAUAUUCUUCUGGUCACUUUUUAUAAAAAGUGGUGGUGUUUUAUAAAAGUGAUGGAAAGGAUUCAUGACAGGGAAAACCAACGUGUAACAGGCUUACAAAUGUGAGAAAUCACUGGGAAUAAACCCUUUACUACUACUGAAUUAAACUGGAUUUAGAAUUUUUGGUGUCAGCUUACUUUAAAUAGAAAGUUUGAUUUUUUUUGGAAAUUUUAAAUCAAAAGUUUUGGGACUCCAGUACCUGCUUCAACAAUACAAAUGCUAUUCAGCUAAUCUUUGUAUCUUUAGAAUAAGCACUCAGUAAUUCUUAACUAUUCCUGUUUAGUAUUUUUACCAAGAUUAAUUUUAAGAUUAAGCCACCCCUCCAAAAAAAAGAUUAACCCCUCAAAUUAUGAUUCGUUUCUCACUGUCAUUUCAGUUGAAGGAAACUGAAGAUGUAUAUGCAAUGCCACAUAUAUAAGGUCUGGUACAUUAAGGAGACCACCAUGUCAGAUUUCCAGGAGCCAUUCUAAAUGAUCUCAUUCAAAUUGCCGUCCUUUAUCAUGGCAACAGUGACUUCAGUUACCACAGGGAAACACAACAAGAUGAGGCAACUGAACACCAGAGAUGCAAGAUGAGUUUUUGGAAAUCAGGCAACUAAUUAGCAGCAGAACGAAGCCCUUUUCCUUGGAAGAAUCCAAGUGGACUGUGGAAACUUAUAGAAUCUACAUGUCUACCCCUCAAACAUGGAGCAACUGACAGAGGCCACAGAAGCCAGAGUUAAGAAACCAUAAGCAAAGGGAGGGGAGGACCCUUGCCCUAUUCCAGCUCCAGCCCAAUGCCAAGCUCUUGGAGCUGAGUAACCACCUGUUGAUUGAUCGUUACCGUGGCAAGAGCCUCCGAAAGAGCAUGAACAAACAAGUGAGGAGACUGAGCACAGAGAGUGAAGCGAUUUGGCACAGGUCAAACCACUGUUACGAGGAGGAGGAGGAGGGACGCAAGCUCCACCCCCCUGACCGCAGAGCCUGGGCAGGAAAUCACCACUUUCACUGAUGUUAUUCUGUCACUUUCAUAUCCACGAAAUGAAUAGGCAUUUACAGGGGAAGAUGUACAAUAUGGAUAUAAAACAACAAUCAGAAUCAUUUAUUACUUACCUGCUCUGGUGGUACUGACAACAGAAUAAAAGGAAUCACAUCAACAAUAAUAAAAAACUUUGCCUAGAGGGAAAUAGACAUAUGAAGUAACACCAUAAACAGAUAUUCUGUAUUUUCUUUUUUACGAUUCUACUCCUUUUGUCCCAUUUUACUUGACAUAUGGCUCACUUCAUAAGAAUGUUUAAAUAUUGAUUUCCAAAUAGCUUCACUUACUUGGUCCUAAAACAAUAUUAACAGACCAUGUAGCUUCCGGAAGGAUCUGUUCUGCUGUUUCUGUAAAAAAAAAAAAAAAAAAAGAAAAGAAAAAAAGGAAAAGAAAAGAAAUGUUUUGGUUUUCUCAGCGUUUUUGAAUCAAGAGAGUUAGUUGGUCCCAAAUAUACCCAAACAUACCCAAACAUAAUGACCAUAUGAUUUCUUUUUUAAAGGCUAUGAUUAAGGCUACCUUUAAGAGGCACGGCCAUCAGUGAGUCCUCUGAGUGAAACCUUUCAGAUGAGCAUCUGUCCUCUCCAAGGUGUGAAAUCACAUUUGGCAAACAGCCUUCUAACCCCCAGAACGCUCAACACGAGACCCAUCAUGUUUUAUGUCUGCACACAAUAAAGAUAGCUGUGUAAACUG